CAGGAAGGUCCCUGCGUUAUCCAGACCCCUUCGCCGCACUUCCGAGGCCUUGCGGGGAGCCGGUGGGCUCAGGAGCGCGGCUGGCAAGUUACAGUGGAUCAGUAUAUUUGAUUGGGGAGAAAUGAAGUAACAGCUGCCCAAACUGAGCUUGAGCACUCCUGAAUUUUGAGGUGUUCAAAUCUGGAAGGCAGGUGCUGUGGGCUCCGGGGGAGCACGGCAGCAACGUGUCUGGAGCUGCAAGGAGACAGACACGCUGGUCUAAGUGGCACGUGGAGUACCAGAAUUGACGGGACAGCGAUCUGCGGUUGAUUUAGCGGGUCUAGUGGAGACCCGCUAAAUCGAUGCCUAGUGCAUCAACUGCAGCAGCAUCAAUCCCCGGUCAUUGAUAAAAAUGUUACAUAGCAGAGGAUCAAGAAUGGAUCUCUGCAGGACCACACUAGAAAUAUACCUGCUCAAGAGGAUUCCCUGUUUAGUUACAUAUUGAGACAUCUCAGUUCACCAGGUUUUAAUCCAUUUGUAGAGUUCCAUGUUAAAAAGCCUGUGUCUUCACAAUGUGCGGAGGAUGUCAUUUUGUGCUCCAAAAUAGCAUCCUCCC